GACGAACGCUGGCGGCGUGCUUAACACAUGCAAGUCGAACGGAAAGGCCCUGCUUUUGUGGGGUGCUCGAGUGGCGAACGGGUGAGUAACACGUGAGUAACCUGCCCUUGACUUUGGGAUAACUUCAGGAAACUGGGGCUAAUACCGGAUAGGAGCUCCUGCUGCAUGGUGGGGGUUGGAAAGUUUCGGCGGUUGGGGAUGGACUCGCGGCUUAUCAGCUUGUUGGUGGGGUAGUGGCUUACCAAGGCUUUGACGGGUAGCCGGCCUGAGAGGGUGACCGGCCAAAUUGGGACGGAACUACGGCCCAGACUCCUACGGGAGGCAGCAGUGGGGAAUAGUGCACAAUGGGCGGAAGCCUGAUGCAGCAACGCCGCGUGCGGUAUGACGGCAUUCGGGUUGUAAACCGCUUUCGCCUGUGACGAAGCGUGAGUGACGGUAAUGGGUAAAGAAGCACCGGCUAACUACGUG
rnacentral:rRNA from 1 species